CAGUCGCCACGGUAAUACGAAGGGUGCAAGCGUUAAUCGGAAUUACUGGGCGUAAAGCGUGCGUAGGUGGUGGUUUAAGUCCGUUGUGAAAGCCCUGGGCUCAACCUGGGAAUUGCAGUGGAUACUGGGUCACUAGAGUGUGGUAGAGGAUAGUGGAAUUUCCGGUGUAGCAGUGAAAUGCGUAGAGAUCGGAAGGAACAUCUGUGGCGAAGGCGACUAUCUGGGCCAACACUGACACUGAGGCACGAAAGCGUGGGGAGCAAACAGGAUUAGAUACCCCCGUAGUCCCUGUCUCUUAUAC
rnacentral:rRNA from 1 species